rnacentral:snoRNA from 1 species
AGGGGCCUAUUUCAUUAAAACUGACCCCUCCCUUCCUGUUCUUAAAGAGGUAAACCAAAACAUCCUCUUUGUUGAUAUCAAAAUCAAAGUAGUGUGAAGCCAACUCUUGGUGUUGCUUUGCUGCAACUGCUAGUUGCUACAGAUGAUCAUUCUUAUCUUCCUUCAGUGGAGCAACAGGGGGAGGAUAUCAUCAGAGAGGU